UACGUAGGGUGCAAGCGUUGUCCGGAAUUAUUGGGCGUAAAGAGCUCGUAGGCGGUCUGUCACGUCGGCUGUGAAAACCCGAGGCUCAACCUCGGGCCUGCAGUCGAUACGGGCAAACUAGAGUACUGCAGGGGAGACUGGAAUUCCUGGUGUAGCGGUGAAAUGCGCAGAUAUCAGGAGGAACACCGGUGGCUAAGGCGGCUCUCUAGUACGGUACUGACGCUGAGACGCGAAAGCGUGGGGAGCGAACAGG
rnacentral:rRNA from 1 species